AUAUUCGUUUACAGAUUGAUUUGAGCAUUAUAGUCGCUCUUUUUUUUUUCGGUUUGUAGUAGAUUUUGGUCGAGUGAAAGAUGGAUUUUACAAUGGAGUUUGAUUUAUCAUUUUGAAUUAUUUUCCUAUAUGAUUGUGAAUUAAGAAGCCGAUGAAGAUGCCUGUGAAUACACAUCAAUGUUUUGUGUCUUCGUGCAGGAACAGUAUUACUGUUAAUCCUGAUGUGACAACAUUCAGAUUUCCAUGAAGCCGAAGCAAGUUAUUGAAGUGGAUUGCUGCAAUUGGCUAUGACCUUGAUGCCAGUAAUGCUGAAACAUUUAAAACUAAAUAUGUAUGUUCCGAACAUUUUGAUAUUGGAGCUUUCACUACAUGUGACUGCAUCAAAUUGAAUCGUGGUGCUGCUACAACAUAUUUUAAUUCUGUGGACAGUGAAGUAUGGAUCUAUUGUUAUAAUUUAUUAUGUCUAGAAUGCUGCCAAAUAUAGGUGAAAUGUUUAUGUUACAUAACAUAACUUGUAAGAUCUACUUGUGCAGAUAUAUAUUUUCACCUGCCUCUAAGGUCCUUUGUUAUUCACAGGUAGCAUUUACAUGUGAUGAAGCAGUAUUUAACAUUAUUGGUCAACAUGCAGUCCAUCAUUACAACCUUUGUACAGGCGCAUACAAACAUAUAUGUGUGGGGUAUUUCACACUUUUUAUUUGAUGUUAAAGAUUGGUAUGGUGACCGGGAUACUUUUUUUUAUUAAACCUCCUACACAGUUCUCUACUGUUUCCCUUAUCUGUUGCCUUAACAUUUUUUUCCGAUCAGUCCAAUUCCUUGAAUCACAUUGCAAAAAAAGUCACAAUACAUGGGAUUGGGCCACUCUCUUCAAAGAAUUGUAAUUCGAGUUUAAACAUAGCAAGGCUGACCAUAAAUUGUAGAGGAAAAUUUAAAAUGUUGAUCUUCAACAUAUUUAUAACCUAUGAUCAUGUGAUGUAUAUACAGCUAGUUAGAAAGUAAGUUGUAGUAUAGUAUGCAAUUGAACCUUCAAUAAGUUCUACAUCCACACUUAAAAACUUAUUUUACUUGAUGUUUUAUGUUCAAUAACUAUUCAGUAUAAAGGUUUUUUUUUACAUUAUAAACUACAAAAGUAUUCCGAUUUGUAAAUGUAAUGAAAUUCCACUGAGCCCUCUACCUUUUUUUUAACUACCAUUUCUGCCGUGUGGCCUUUUUUUUCUUACUUUUGUGUUCAUUAUAAGUUACAACCACUCAUUUGAUUUAUUGUGUUAAAUUAAAUGAUAUUUAAAAUUGGAUGUCACUUCAUAAGAACAUUCAGGAUUACCUGUAUUCACAGCGCACAAUUAUACAAAAGUUUUUUAUGUAUGUAAAAGUGUUUUACGUAAGCCAGUGGACACAUACAUGUAUUGAGUAACAUGAGAAAAUUGAAAUAUCUAAAAUAAAA